rnacentral:rRNA from 1 species
GUGCCAGCAGCCGCGGUAAUACGGAGGGUCCGAGCGUUAUCCGGAAUCAUUGGGUUUAAAGGGUCCGCAGGCGGUCAAUUAAGUCAGAGGUGAAAUCCCAUAGCUCAACUAUGGAACUGCCUUUGAUACUGGUUGACUUGAGUCAUAUGGAAGUAGAUAGAAUGUGUAGUGUAGCGGUGAAAUGCAUAGAUAUUACACAGAAUACCGAUUGCGAAGGCAGUCUACUACGUAUGUACUGACGCUGAGGGACGAAAGCGUGGGGAGCGAACAGGAUUAGAUACCCUGGUAGUCCACGCCGUAAACGAUGGAUACUAGUUGUUGGGCAUUAGCUCAGUGACUAAGCGAAAGUGAUAAGUAUCCCACCUGGGGAGUACGGUCGCAAGACUGAAACUCAAAGGAAUUGACGGGGGCCCGCACAAGCGGUGGAGCAUGUGGUUUAAUUCGAUGAUACGCGAGGAACCUUACCAGGGCUUAAAUGUAGUCUGACAGCUUUAGAGAUAGAGUUUUCUUCGGACAGAUUACAAGGUGCUGCAUGGUUGUCGUCAGCUCGUGCCGUGAGGUGUCAGGUUAAGUCCUAUAACGAGCGCAACCCCUGUCAUUAGUUGCCAGCAUGUAAAGAUGGGGACUCUAAUGAGACUGCCUACGCAAGUAGUGAGGAAGGUGGGGAUGACGUCAAAUCAUCACGGCCCUUACGUCCUGGCCACACACGUGCUACAAUGGUAUGGACAAUGAGCAGCCAUCUGGCAACAGAGAGCAAAUCUAUAAACCAU